rnacentral:rRNA from 1 species
GAGUUUGAUCUUGGCUCAGGACGAACGCUGGCGGCGUGCUUAACACAUGCAAGUCGAACGGUAAGGCCCCUUUGGGGUACACGAGUGGCGAACGGGUGAGUAACACGUGAGCAACCUACCCUUGACUCUGGAAUAACAGCUGGAAACAGCUGCCAAUACCGGAUACGACCUCUUGCGGCAUCGCAGGGGGUGGAAAGUUCCGGCGGUCGGGGAUGGGCUCGCGGCCUAUCAGCUAGUUGGUGGGGUAACGGCCCACCAAGGCUUCGACGGGUAGCCGGCCUGAGAGGGCGACCGGCCACACUGGGACUGAGAUACGGCCCAGACUCCUACGGGAGGCAGCAGUGGGGAAUAUUGCACAAUGGGCGCAAGCCUGAUGCAGCAACGCCGCGUGCGGGAUGACGGCCUCGGUUGUAA